GAAUAAACUUAUUGUGAUAUUGUUGGCGAUCGAUACACUAUUUGAUAGACAUCUCUUUGCGGAGAUCCCCCACUGUCAAGUAAAAUUUGUAACUUUCAAUUUUAAUUCUUCAAAUUCCAUUCCUUUCAUGAAGAAUGUAACGAUAUCAUAGAACAAACUAAUAGGGGGCAAUUAUUCAUUGAAUGUUGUUCUCUAUCCAGCUUUAAAACCAUCGCUGUUAGAGGUUGCUUCUGUUCUUCAGUUAAGCUUGACCCAUGAAACGGUGAUGACCUAUGGUUUGGAAUAUUA
rnacentral:snoRNA from 1 species